GUUGUGUUCACUGGAAUGCCAUGGGAAUGUUGCUGUACUGCGCUUCUAGACCAGAGGAGGUUUUAAAGUCACAGCUGAAAAAAACAAAACUGCCCUGCCACUGAGCAGGUAUGUGGGUGCAGCCUCCUUAACAGCUGCUAUUGAUUUACCGAUAGUGGUAAAUUGCUGGAUUAAUGAGGCUAAAUCCUACAGCUGGCACUCCUCAUUCCAUUUUAACAUGGUAGGGUCCGUGUGCCCAGGCCUGAGCACACACGAAGUCUAGCUAAAGGCUGGGAAAAAGAAAUUGCUGCUUGGUUCCUCCUUCCUGGUGAUUGCCCAUCCUCAGUCUCCCUCUAACUGCUCCUUUCUGUGACCAGGGGAGCCUAGGGUGCCACCUCCAGCAUUGUCACUGGGUUAGGCCGUGUACUGCCUCCACCAAGCUGCAUCCCCGCAGGCCGAGGUAACCCAGCUGCCAGAGGAGGGGGUCGAAAUGAGGUGGAAUCGAUGCCACCUGGCAUCGAUUUUUGUGCUCCCUGGAACAGGACAGCAGAGCAACACAGCCGCAGAGCAAGACUGAGCAGCUUUGCCAGAAGGUUUUAAUCUCUCGUCAGCACAGAAACACACAGAGGUAUCCCACUGAGUGACACCUGGGGAGGCGGAGGAGCAGAGCCACAAAGAGAGAAGGGAAGGCUGGGCACAUUUAGUGCCAAAAUGGCACGUAGGACUACAAGGGGGUGACUUCUCAGGUAGUUCAGCAAGACUGCAGAGCACCCCUUUUGCCGAGGUGAGAACGCUAAAGGACUGGGCAGUGCUUUUUAGUGCAAAUUUCUAUUUGCUCCUCUGCCAAAAUGCUCUCAGAAACCACCAGAACUGCUCUCCCACACCCACAGCAGAGCAUAAAGCACACUACUUAAACUUUUAUAACUGAGAGCAUCUUUGCUGGGUCACUGAAAACCUCCUCUGUGAUCUGCAGAUCAUUGUGUCACUCCAGCAAGUGAAAAAUAUUAUACAAGGACUUUUGUGUUUGUGUGGAGUUUGGAUUUGGGGCCCUGCAUUAAAAAAUGAUUGCUCUAAGA